UUGGUUCCAAAUGUCCAAAGAUUCCUCUUUAGAAGACCAAGCUACAUUUGCUUAUCUCAUGUUAUAAAAGAUCAUAAAGGUAAUGGCCUUUAGGGGUCAUACAUGAUACAGGGCCGUACCUAAAUCCUGAACUGCCAGGAAAACACUCAACAAAUUGCAUUUAAGUCUCUAUACUUUAAAACCAAGCAAUCAAGGCCCAGUGGAACAGUGGAACAAAACUGCCCCCGGUGCAAAUGAAUUUAGUGCUUGGUUUGCCUGUCCCUGGUUUAUUGCAAAGCCAUCUGAGCACACUGAUGUUUUCAAUGCCAUUCUAAGUAUCAGCUGAAUGUAAAUUAAAAAUACACUGCGCUUUUACUAUUGGCAGCGGCUGGAGCUGAGCACUUCAGACAGAAAGAAAUGCUCGGUACUUAUCUGAUGUUCCUUACAAGGUGGAUCAGAGAACAGCCUAUCCGACCCCUCACUUUCCAGCGGAACCAAAGCACAACAAUCGCAAAGUGGCAGAAAAGGAAAAACCCGGCCAGUGGGUGCACUGAGCAAAAAGUAGGAGCGAAACAAUUGGUUUUUAAACAACAAGAGUCUUUUCCAUUCAUAAAGCAACAGUCAAGGGUUCCCGCUGCCCGACACAGCGUGUCAGAGGCCGCAGGUACUGACGGCAGCGUUACCGCAUCCCCUCCCCGCGCCUCCAUGAAAGAUUAAAGGCCACCCGAGCUGCCGCCGCUAUUCUCUGCAUCUCACUUGCAAAUUCGCACGCCGGCAGCGGAGCGCGGCGCCGCCGCCACGGAAACUGCUGCUCCCCCGGGCGACCUCCGGGUCCGGGAGCCGGAGCCCGGCCAUGGCCCGGCGGCCGGGGCCACCUCUGGGGCGCCCGCUGAGGCCGCUGCGCAGCGGAACGUCCCUCCAGGCGCGGGACGGCCCCGCGCAUAACGCCCGGCUCCCCAGCGGGCACACUCGCUGUGGCGGCGCCGGUGGUUCCGCAGCACCCCGGGGUCACGCUCGUCUCGCAGCGUCUUUGGGACCCCCCGGCCCUCCUGUGGGAUAGCGCUCGUCCCGUGGCACCUCUGGGGUCCCGCGGACUCCAGCAGUAUUCCCAGAACCCCGCAGCAUCCCCGGGACCCCGCGGCAGCAGCUGCCGGUGGCUCUCACCUGCGCACACGUCCAUCCCGCUGCGGGAAGGCGCUGCCGGUGGCCGGGCUCCGUCCGCCCCGAGCUACCUGCUGGACGGGCUGCUCAGGAAUAAAACGGCAUCUCUCGGUCACUGUCCGGAGAGUCAUUGCUGGGACAUGGCUCGGAGAGACACACAGCAUCGGAAACACCUGCGGAACGGCGGCAAAUCCCAACGAGGAAACAAUCGCACAGAAGCGGGCUGCGGGUCCCUGCCCUGCCCUGCCCUGCCCUGCCCUGCCCUGCCCUGCCCUGGCCAGCAGCGCGCUCUGGCCCCGUGGGCAGCGUGUCCGGCGGUCGGGAGCUGCAGGACGGUCUUCAUAAUUCCUGGCACUAACAUGCAGUAGCUGCAGCAGUGGCUUCAUCAGAGGAAUUGCUGAGACAGUCUUCUCUUCAUUGGAGCCACAGGUCUCCUUACAGCACUGCGGUUCUAUGAUGGCUCCUACUCUUCCAAAUCCUCGCCCUUCUGGGUGAUUGUUUUUAGAAAAUCAUUCUCAGUAUGAAGUAAUCCAGUAGUGAAGAUGCACGAAAACUCUUCCUGCACCCAUCAGUGGUGAGCUCCUUUGGUUUUGUGACACUGCAUCAUCCUUUGGGAACAUCUCCUGAUGUGCUUUGUGCUUUCACUUUCUUUAUUUUUUAUUUUAGGUAAGAACAGUGAUAAGAAUAAUGAAUACAUUUCAUGGUGGCUGAGGAAUGUAGAAUGACCAGCUCAUUCAUCCCCUGAAACAAAACUGGUUUUCUGGAAACAGGUGGGCAGCUGUUUGAUGUUAGAAGAAGGAAAGAAUGAUCAAACUUAACAGAAGACCAAAAACAAAGAGCCUUUUAAGGAAUGUGUGACCUUCCUGGCAAACAGGUCUUGUUUUAAGAUAAUGAUCCACAGAAUCUGCAAAUGAGAAUUUCUUUGGUUUGUAGCCAAGUUGAUUUCGUGCCUUGUCUAUUCGGAAAGUGUGAGUUACAGUAACGUUCCAGACCUGGAAUCCAAAAGGACAGUUAUGGAAGUGACUUCAACAUCUGGUUUUAUAGAACAUCGACAAACGUAUGUCAACAGUGGUAUCACAGUGGAAUUAAAAACAUGAAUAAGGACAGACACUCAAAAACAUACAUACUUCAGAUUCUGAUUCUGUCCAGAGCUAAUAGGAUAAGUUUAUAUAGCUGACAAAGGAUCAAAGCUGUGCAACAACAUCCUUGGUGGGCUGAGUGGAAAAGGAGUUCCUGACACUGAUUUCUCACUUGGAUUGUUAAGCUGUACAAGUAAGAACUAAGGAAAUCCCACACAACAAAUCAGCACACUUCCCCCAAACUGACUCGUGUACAGAUAAAUAUAUAAUGCAAUUGUAUGUACGUAUGUACUGUGGUGGUGUGGCUUCCCAGGUUUGCAGAAAUGCACAUCUAGGACUGGAAAACAUUCACUUCUGCUUGGAUAUAUCCUCCAUGUUUGAAAGCAGGGUACCUGUGAAAGUGUGCCAGUUGCACAGCCUCUCUCAUUUCUGCUUCAGAUAUGGAACUGAGGUAGAAGUAUAAAAACUGAUACACCAAUGUGGAAUGACUGAAAAACUAUAGCAUCAGUUACUAAGGUCCAUGCAAUCCCUUCUGUUUCCUAUUAUGUUACAUGCUACAAUACAGUAAGAAACUGUAGAUAGAUUGAAGCAUUUUGAUUUAUAUUAUAAAUCAUAAUAUUGUAUAAAAACAUAAGUUAGAUAAAAAUGAAUUUGUCCAGAUUUGUCCAAAUUUUUGUUUGCAGGAAAUUGACUUUUCAUUCCAAUUUGUAAUUAUUUUAAUGACCUUUCUAAUUAUUGACUAACCUUACCGUAUGAUGACUGCUACCACAUUGAUUUGAGAUUGUACACCUUCCUUUAACAGCUAGUUCUAUGGCAUAGGACUGCUCUCUGGAAAUGAUGUAGUACCUGUUUUCCUCUUGUGCCAGCACUGCGUCACUCACUCUGUCUUGCAUCCCUAUGUUGUCACUCUGGACUAUCUAGUCUUCAAGUGAGGAUUAGUUUCCGAUCAUAUUAUAAGAGGUAGCCAGGAUAGUAUGGAAAAAUGAGGCCAUAAACUGACUGCCUAAGCCCUGAAUGGACUAACCCUCAAGCAGAAGGACAGAGCUCUAACACCAUCAGUAUCCAGAGGGCAUAUUGCUCAUUUCAUGAGAAUUCUGAUCAGAAAUAUGUACAUAUUCUCUCAUGUUAUAUACUUACCUCAUUCCUUGUCAAGAAAGGUGUGAAGCUAAAAAAUGGCUUUAAUGCCAGAUGCAGAUAUUCCAUCACAGCGGCUGUGAGACAGAAAAUUACUUAAUAAGACAGCUAGAUAACAAUAAACAGAUAACACUGACAUUGCACAUCCUAUAAUUCCUACUGACAACAGAGGAUUCAAUUAAGAUACUGGGAGGCAGUGUUUAAUUUAUUAAGUACAUGAUGAAUUCAGUUUAUUAACAACCUUUAAACCAUAUCUGG
rnacentral:lncRNA from 1 species